ensembl:snRNA U2 U2 spliceosomal RNA
CUCGCUUCUCAGCCUUUUGGCUAAGAUCAAGUGUAGUAACUUAAUUAAACAGUAGUUCUACAUUGACCUUUUAUCUCAGGACUGAUUCAGAGUAGUAAGUGCCAGAUCAGCCCCAGGAUGGUUUUGACCACCAUCACCCCCCCCCC